UGAAUACGAGACGCUAAGGCGUCGAAGUAGUGUAUGUCAUACUUCCAAGAAAAGCUUGCACUGUCAUAAGUAAAAAAUGCCUGUACCAUAACCGACACAGGUGGGUAGGUAGAGUAUACUAAGGGGCGCGAGAUAACUCUCUCUAAGGAACUCGGCAAAAUAACUCCGUAACUUCGGGAGAAGGAGUACCUUAUUCUAUAAGGUUGCAAUAACAAGAUCCAAGCAACUGUUUAUCAAAAACACAGGUCUCCGCUAAGUCGUAAGACGAUGUAUGGGGGCUGACGCCUGCCCAGUGCCAGAAGGUUAAAGAAGUCGGUUAGCAUUAGCGAAGCUGGUAACUGAAGCCCUGGUGAACGGCGGCCGUAACAAUAACGGUCCUAAGGUAGCGAAAUUCCUUGUCGGGUAAGUUCCGACCCGCACGAAAGGCGUAAUGAUUUGGAUACUGUCUCGGAGAGGGGCUCGGUGAAAUAGACUUGUCUGUGAAGAUGCGGACUACCUGCACCAGGACAGAAAGACCCUAUGAAGCUUUACUGUAACUUGAAAUUGAAAUUGGACUUUAUUCGCGCAGUAUAGGUGGGAGGUGUUGAUUAUAAUCUUGCGGGAUUAUUGGAGCCAUCAGUGAGAUACCACUCUUGUAUGUUAGAUUUCUAACUUUGAAUCAUUAUCUGGUCAAAGGACAGUUUCAGGCGGGCAGUUUGACUGGGGCGGUCGCCUCCCAAACGGUAACGGAGGCGUACAAAGGUUUCCUCUGAACGGGUAGAAAUCGUAUCUAGAGUGUAAAGGCAUAAGGAAGCUUGACUGUGAGACCUACAAGUCGAACAGGGACGAAAGUCGGUCUUAGUGAUCUGACGGUACUGAGUGGAAAGGCCGUCACUCAACGGAUAAAAGUUACUCUAAGGAUAACAGGCUGAUCUCCCCCAAGAGUUCACAUCGACGGGGAGGUUUGGCACCUCGAUGUCGGCUCAUCGCAUCCUGGGGCGGUAGUACGUCCCAAGGGUUGGGCUGUUCGCCCAUGAAAGCGGUACGCGAGCUGGGUUCAGAACGUCGUGAGACAGUUCGGUCCAUAUCCGGUGUAGGCGUUAGAAUAUUGAGAGGAGCCUUCUUUAGUACGAGAGGACCGAGAAGGACAUACCUCUGGUGUACCAGUUAUCGUGCCAACGGUAAACGCUGGGUAGCUAUGUAUGGAGUGGAUAACCGCUGAAAGCAUCUAAGUGGGAAGCCCACCUCAAGAUAAG
rnacentral:rRNA from 1 species